UCUGUACAGCCUGUGCCAGAGCCUCACCACUGUUGAAUAAAAUAAAAUCUUCUUAACAUCUAACCUAAAUCUCCCCUCUUUUAGAUUGAAACCAUUCUCCUAUCACUAUCAGACUGGGCAAGAAGUCAGUCUCUCUUCUGUUUAUAAGCUCCCUUUAAUGUGGGAGGGGAUGCUACAGUCAGGGUGGAGUUGCUUUGCAAGUUGCAAGGGACACGGGAAUCUGAAAUAUUCGAGUUCCUAUAGUGGGUUUGAGGGUGAAAUAACUGGGGAGGAGAGCACUGUUCAAGGCCAUUGUAAUAGCUGAUGUCACCUGCUUGUGAGCAUGAGCCUGUUCUCCUGGGGGAGAUGCUGCCUGCUGCAGGGGUGCUGAUGUCAGAAGCCAGGGCGCAACUGGUUGCAGCGUUCACUGAAGGACAGCAAAGUUUGCUUUUCCAAUCCAUGCAGAGAUUGGGAAGAAACUUCCAAAAUCAAGUUUGAAAAGUCACCAGAAGCAUGUACCAGAGCAAGUCCCAGACCAAAGGAGGGCUGAGCAUUCAGCAUCCUCUCUUAAGCACCCUGAGAGCCAUGCUCCGCGUUUACCCCCGUGCAGGAGCAUAGGGCUCUCUGCGUUCAACACUCAUGCCCAUUUUUAAGCUGGCUUUGAUGUGGUCACCGCAUCUUCAAAGCAAGAUGUGAGGAGCUUGGAGGUACCUUCCAUGAUGCGUUGUUAUGGGGAAGGUGGAGGUGGUUGGGUACAGGCGCUUAGAACCUCGUGGCUUCAGAAGAGCACUGAAAACCCAACAGCUGAGCUGCUGCGUUCAAUCGCACAGCCCACAAUCUGCGUGUGGAACGUGGCAGUCAUCUGAAGGAUUCAUUAAGAUGGGGAAUUAUUUGCAUAUUAUUAGCAUUAUUACACGGAAAUAAAAGUGCUGCUGGUUCUCCCCUCCCUCCACGUAUCUCUCUCUCAUCACCCGCCUUUAUAACCGCUCUGAAUCCUAUUUGUCGUGUGACAAACUGGGCUGAUAAAUCUCGUUACUCACUUGAAUGGCUGGGAGACUCAUCGCCCAUUACUGAAUUUGGUGAAUUAUGUAAGAAACGCAUAAUUAAAAUUAAACGCGGAGCCUCGCGUGGAACCUCAUGAAAUUCCGGUCGCGAUGAAUUACGGAGAGAUGUACAUGGGGAUUAAAAUGUAAGCCUAAUUAUUUGGAUUUAUUCUUAAUCAAUAUUUAAUACGCCACCUAUAAGUUCCUGUGUACCCACAGCAAAGCAGCUGGUGGGGCUUUCCAGGAGAGCACGGGAAGCACGCGUGCAAGUCGAGUUCCAUGUUUGUUUCCAUCAUCCUGCUCACUUCAAUAUUUGAUUACAGAAAGGAAAACUGCCCUGAACAAGAGGGGAUAAAGUUCCCCGGCCGCAGGAAGUCGUGGCAAGGAGCCUUUUUUCCCCAAGUCUUUCCCCACCUGAUCACCUUUGGAUGUUGUGGUUUAUUGGAAGAGCACUGAACUUGUGGGAAAUAACUAACGGAGCACCGCUUGGUUGUUCACUCAUCAGAUUGUCAUGAAAAUCAUGCUGAAAAUCCUUCCCAUCACGUAUUUCUGCACUCCUGAUUCUUAUUAAAGACAGCUGUCCAGACUGCUGUCUGUCUUCUGGAGGUGUAUAUUUGAAAUAUGCUAAAAAGUUGUUUUCUGUGUGCAAAAAUUGGCUUUAGAGGUAUCUCCAAAUGCCCUGGCAAGAGAAGAAGUGUUUUUAAGGCAAGCAGUCUGCAAACCCCCUCUUAAUUUUGAAAGGUUCGUCUCUCUUAAGUACGAAACUGAAUAGAAGAGAUUUUAUUCCCCUAAAUCCCCGAUUCUGGAGAAAGCAGCUUGAGAUCUCAGUAAGAGAAUUAACACAGGGGUUAAAUUUACAAUAAGGAGCAGUACUUGGAAAAUGCCUAUUCAGACGCUGUUAAGGAAAUAAUAGGAUUAGUUCUUGUCGUGUCAGUGUGGAUUCCUCAAACUGCGGGCUUCGUGCUGACAUGCAUACGUUCUGUGUUGCUGGCCUGGGUGUGAAAUUGAGGACAAUGAAAAUAAAGAUGACUUUUCUUGGAGGCAGUUCCUUUGAAUGUUCAAGCCCGUAGCUCUGCACACGCACGCGUGCGGCAGGUAAUUCACUAUGACAAAUAAGCCACUAAUAAUUCCCCCAGUGCUGUUGUUUGCCACCGAGAUGAUCUUAAUUGCCGCCGUUGUAACUGGUAAAAAUGCCUUUAUCCCAAGUGGCAAGUGCGCCGUCUCAAACGUGUUUCCCAUUUCCAUCCUAAGCGGAUUUCGGAUCAUUUCUGUCAUCUGUUGGAAGCACAAUAGACAUUUUUACCCAUUGUUUUUGUGAUUUCUUUUGGAUGACCCAUUUAUUAUUCCGCUGUAUUUAUUAUAAUCUACGUACAUCGCAUGCGUUCUUUAAGAUACAGCGUCCUUAUCUCUCUGUUUAUUUCGCACUUCUCAUUAAUCCAGAGCCCUGAAACAAAGCAUUAUCUUCCAUUCCUCGUCUGCCAUUUCAUAACCAUCCGUGUGUAUCUUUAUUUUUAGCUUAAGCAAAAGCCGUGCAGCGCUAAGGCUGAGUUGGGCUUAUUUUGACAUCAGCUGAUUUCAUCACAGAACGAGCUGUAGAUCGUCGCUCUGAAAAACUUCAACAAAAUGGUCUGAAAGGUUUUUAUGGGUUGUGAGAUGUUCCAGUGCUUGGAUCAAUGCGUUUUCUUUAAUGUCGGGAAGGAGUAUGUUGGGUUUUUUUUGGUUUGUUUGCUUGUGUUAUGUCAAUUUAAUUGUAAGCCAGCACAGCAGCCCCAGGGGAAGUGUACCUAUAUACACAAACAGGUACAACGCUGUGUGUGCAUGGAGCACACGGAACCAUCCCAGGGCAGAGGAGGUCCCCGAGGAGCUGCCAGGCUGUUCAGACAUCACUGAUACCAGAAUGGUGAGACCCACCUGGCCUGAUUUUGGCACAGCGCUGUGCCCUCUUCGGCGGCAGAAACAAGAAUGCAGGAGAUUGGCUUCACGUGUAGAGCUGCAUCAGCUGAAGCUCGCGCUAGCAUGAGGUUUAGCAAGGUUUGUGCUCUGGUGUGAGCAAAACAGGGGGAAAUCUAUCUUCUGUUAUCAGAGGGCAACCUGAGCUGGUGGGGGACAGCCAGCCCACGGCAGGGGUUGGGACCAGAUGAUCUCUGAGGUCCCUUCCAACCCAAACCAUUCUGUUACUGUAUGAUUUUAAAUUAUACAUGUGUAUUUCACGUCUAUAUAAAACCAUCCUGGGACUUGUGGACUGAGAUGUGAUGUGAUUUGCAUGAUGACAUCCUGACAGUAACCAAGGAGGCUAACCUGCAUCGUGAUGCUUUUGCUUCGACCUGCUGUCCCCAGCCACGGAUUGCCGUCAUAAAGGCCCAUUAAAAAUCACUUUGCUCUCUGGGAUGCUUAACUUGCUGUGUUUUCAGUUAGCCAUGGUGAACCUUGAAAAAGAGAGUGUUUUAGCUUCCAGCAGGAUAUCUAGAGUUCAGAAAUCUCCGCAGAAGAUUAAGCAAGUUAGAGAGAGAAAUGAGCUCUGAUCUCUUUCUGCCAGCAUAGGAUUAUCCUGCAGCACACCGGUUUUGAAGUUUAUGUCUAAUCCAGUUUUACACGUCCCAGGGGACUGGGCUCCUUACGACUUCUGCAGAGCAGUUGUAUGGUGGAGCCUCUGCUUUAGAGGUACUUACUCGGUGCCGAGAUUCAAUUUGCAUUUCCAUUACUGCAUCCCAUUUCAUCCUGUGCCAUAUACUUAAUGUCGCUGCUUUGUGGUGUAUGGCUUUCGAAGACAUAUGGAUCGUUACUGUGCUUGUGCUACUUUAUAUGCUUACUGCACACGUGGCUGGACUGUCUGGACCCCCUUCUUACAAAUAACUUGUGCUUAGGGCUGUUGAACGUAUUUAUGUGAAAAAAGGGCUUGUGGCAGUCAGUGCGCAUCGUAGCACAUCGACGCAAGUGGCGUGAGCCAAGGUGAGAUGAGCCAAGCAUGCAGCAAUAUUGCUAGUCAAGGCAAAGAGGAGCAAAUGUUGCUGUUCUCCAGCACGGUGCAAGGUUUAAAUGGCCAGUUUGGGAGUUUUUCAUCUGAUGCACGAUGAGUUUGUAAAACCAUGAUUUUUGUUUUCUAAUAAAUGUGUAUUUCCAGGCUGAAAA